rnacentral:tRNA from 1 species
GUCAGGAUGACCGAGUGGUUUAAGGCACCAGACUCAAGGUGAGAAGACUUCCUGGUUCUAGGGGUGUUCUGCUCUCUGAUUGGAGGCGAGGCUUCAAAUCCCUCUCCUCACA